rnacentral:rRNA from 1 species
GACGAACCGUGCGAACGUUAUUCGGAUUCACUGGGCUUAAAGGGUGCGUAGGCGGCGCGGUAAGUCGGAUGUGAAAUCUCGGAGCUUAACUUCGAAACUGCAUUCGAUACUGCCGUGCUUGAGGACUGGAGAGGAGACUGGAAUUUACGGUGUAGCGGUGAAAUGCGUAGAUAUCGUAAGGAACGCCAGUGGCGAAAGCGAAUCUCUGGGCAGCAACUGACGCUGAGGCACGAAGGCCAGGGGAGCAAACGGG